GCCAUCUUAGCUCAUCUGGGAGAGCGUAAGACUGAAGAAGCCAUCUGGUCCUUGGAAUCCCACACCAGCUGGCCUGGCCAUCUUAAGGCACCCGGCCCAAACCUGGGAGAGGGCA